UCAUUUCUAUAAAAGUGACAAAAUAGCAAUAUUUUCAAGAAACAACUUUUUAAAUUCUAAUUUAAUAGAAGUCAAGUUAUGGUCUGAGAGAUAACUUAAAAAUGGUAAGUUAUUUAGGAACAAGAUAAAAGGCAAAACACCAAACUUCAUACAAACUUAAAUGUUUGACAUUUAAAAAUUAAAGAGAUUUUUUUUAACGUGUAUUUGAGACAAAUAAGCCAACCUUGGUACAUAACCGCUGAAAACUAAAAAACCGUACCCUAAACCAACACAGGUGGAUAGGUCGAGUAGACUAAGGUGUAUGAGAUAAUUAUGUUGAAGGAACUCGGCAAAAUGACUCUGUAACUUCGGGAGAAAGAGUACCUUUUUAUUUAAGUGUU
rnacentral:rRNA from 1 species